rnacentral:rRNA from 1 species
UACGUAGGGGGCAAGCGUUGUCCGGAUUUAUUGGGCGUAAAGAGCGUGUAGGCGGCCAGACAGGUCCGUUGUGAAAACUCGAGGCUCAACCUCGAGCUGUCGGCGGAAACCAUCUGGCUAGAGUCCGGAAGAGGAGAAUGGAAUUCCCGGUGUAGCGGUGAAAUGCGCAGAUAUCAGGAAGAACACCUAUGGCGAAGGCAGCUCUCUGGGACGGUACUGACGCUGAGACGCGAAAGCGUGGGGAGCGAACAGG